CAGCUGAAAGUAAUUGGAGGCAGCUGAGGAAAGAGUGAGGGCGAUUUCCCUGUUCCUCUAUCUCAACAGCAGUAAGCCCGAGAUGAAAGACUUAUUGAGCAGUUUAGGUAAGGAAGAAAGCAAAGUAUUUUGGUUAGGAGAAGAAAUAACAGAGAGUUCCUAUGCGAUCAGGAGAAAAGUUGUGCCUUAGAGUAUUAUUAUUUAUUUAUUUUUAACCUUUUCUUCCCCUUUACUGAAGAGACAAAGGCUCUCACUCCUCUGGAAAGGGAGGAUAGUGUGCCAGUAGUGGCAGCACAGCUCUUAUGGGAGAUAUACUUGGACCUGGUCAUCUUUAAAAAGGAGACAAGCUGGUCAGAUCUCUUGCCAGUAGGAUCUGGGACUCUGUCUGCUCCUCUCAUACAGGACUGCCUUAAACAUUGAGCUAUGAGAAGAUUCCUCUAAGUUCUUUCUUCCUCACUCAUUGAUUUACACAUCCUUCUGCAGAGACAUCUGCCUUCAGCGUGGUUUGAAGAAUAGGUCUUCUCCCCACUCACAGACUAUUCUCUAUGCAUUCCUCUAAGCAACAGGGCCUGUUUGGUCCAUAUUGGUCUUGGUAAGGUCACUUCAUAGACAGUUUCCCUCUCCUGGCCUUAUCCUCUAUCUGAUUAUUUUAAAUAGUGAACCUCUUCCAACAGAUUAUAAAAUGGACCAGUACUCACCCAUUAUCUUCAUGAAAGAAAGGUUGUGCCUAUCCUCUCUAGGGAGAGGCAAUUGGAUCUGGAAACAG
rnacentral:lncRNA from 1 species